rnacentral:miRNA from 1 species
UUUGUUUUAGAGACUGGCUGUU